rnacentral:rRNA from 1 species
UGGGGAAUAUUGCACAAUGGGCGAAAGCCUGAUGCAGCAACGCCGCGUGAGUGAUGACGGCCUUCGGGUUGUAAAGCUCUGUCUUUGGGGACGAUAAUGACGGUACCCAAGGAGGAAGCCACGGCUAACUACGUGCCAGCAGCCGCGGUAAUACGUAGGUGGCAAGCGUUGUCCGGAUUUACUGGGCGUAAAGGGUGCGUAGGCGGAUCUUUAAGUGAGAUGUGGAAUCCCCGAGCUUAACUUGGGGGCUGCAUUUCAAACUGGAGGUCUAGAGUUCAGGAGAGGAGAGUGGAAUUCCUAGUGUAGCGGUGAAAUGCGUAGAGAUUAGGAAGAACACCAGUGACGAAGGCGGCUCUCUGGACUGUAACUGACGCUGAGGCACGAAAGCGUGGGGAGCAAACAG